rnacentral:rRNA from 1 species
UACGUAGGGGGCAAGCGUUGUCCGGAAUCAUUGGGCGUAAAGCGCGUGUAGGCGGCUCGGUAAGUCCGCUCUGAAAGUCCAGGGCUCAACCCUGGGAUGCGGGUGGAUACUGCCGGGCUCGAGUCCGGAAGAGGCGAGUGGAAUUCCCGGUGUAGCGGUGAAAUGCGCAGAUAUCGGGAAGAACACCCGUGGCGAAGGCGGUUCUCUGGGACGGUACUGACGCUGAGGCGCGAAAGCGUGGGGAGCGAACAGG